rnacentral:rRNA from 1 species
ACACGACUCUCGGCAACGGAUAUCUCGGCUCUCGCAUCGAUGAAGAACGUAGCGAAAUGCGAUACCUGGUGUGAAUUGCAGAAUCCCGCGAACCAUCGAGUCUUUGAACGCAAGUUGCGCCCGAGGCCUCUUGGCCAAGGGCACGCCUGCCUGGGCGUCACGC